UACGUAGGGGGCUAGCGUUGUCCGGAUUUAUUGGGCGUAAAGAGCGUGUAGGCGGCCAGGUAGGUCUGCUGUGAAACUCGAGGCUCAACCUCGAGCUGUCGGCGGAAACCAUCUGGCUAGAGUCCGGAAGAGGAGAGUGGAAUUCCUGGUGUAGCGGUGAAAUGCGCAGAUAUCAGGAAGAACACCCGUGGCGAAGGCGGCUCUCUGGGACGGUACUGACGCUGAGACGCGAAAGCGUGGGGAGCGAACAGG
rnacentral:rRNA from 1 species